AGCAAUCAGCAUCUUUCUCUCUUUAUCUCGCAAAGGAGGGACAGUGAGGGAUUUGUGUUGAAGCUUACAUUUGUUGAGAUUAAGAGAGAGCGAGUGCUCGGAUGAAGUAUCUGUUCUUCUGUGGCUGCCAUAUAAUCUGAAUCAGUGGCGGCUGUGAGAGUUCAGCUCUCGGACCCUUUAUGCUGACACUGAGCAGUAACGGGUUGUUGUUAUUUUCCCCCGACCUUCAUGUACAACCGAUGAGCUCAUCUUCAGCAGCAAUGUCAUCAUAACCAACACGCCCACUGCCUUCCAGCUUCUGUUGGGUCCAACAAGGAGCGAGUGGCAUCCUCCCCGCGGCUGAGUGUUGCUGCUGGGCCAAACCCCCUGCGCCCCGAGGAGGCACAGAACGUGUGAACCCCUUUCAACUGGAGGGGGAAUCUAAAAAUAUCUCUUACUACUGGUGAAUUUGAAGGAGAUGAGCUGUCAUGGCGGCCGGGAAUCUCCUUCCUGCCUCCGCUGCAGUGGCUUUUAGAGGCACAGAUCAUCUGGGAUUAAGUUGCAGCUAUAAUCGCUCUCUUUCGAGUGACAACAGUCACACGGGCAGCUGGUGGAGUACCCCAAUAUCGCCCGCAGGGGGCGACACAGUCGCGCAGUAGAAGAGGAGGGCGCCUGACAGUCGACUCGUCCAUUCGAAGUCACGGACAGCUACAUUUUGAGACGACCCCUCCCCGUGAUGUGUCAAGGAGACAGACACUGUCGUCGAUAUGUUUCCAAAUGCCGCUGCACGCCCCGUCCGUCAGCACGAACCUCCUCUAUGCAGAGAUGCGCGCGGAGCUAAUGGAUUGUGGAUCAGUCGUGUGCUUGACAGAACUUGUAAAUACUCCAGAUGAGCUCUGCCCUGCAGUCCCUCAUCUCAGGUCCACAUCAGUUCACUCAUGCCGCCUCCUCUGCUCGACGACUCUGCCUGGUUCUUGUCAGGCCAGACACGAAGGCAAAUGGCGCAGGGCUGCACGACGUGCUCAAGUGUUUUUGCAGGGAACAGUGUGUGCACGGUCUGAAGCAGGCGCCAACAAUAUCAGGGCAUUGGAAAGAAGGCGCGCGACGCGUCGAUAUCGAUUCAGACAGCAGGUUUUCUGAAAGUUGGACUGGUGGCUCGGGGGAUAACAUUUUUUUUUUUUUAAUCCUGAGAGGCUGCAUGCACAGCUCAACUUACACAUCAGUCAACGUCCAGGUCUGAGAUGCAGCAGGAGCAUUCAUAACAUGCUGCCAAGUUCUGCUCUGUAGCACACAUGAUGUCAUGUAUGUAAAACAUAAAUAAAUAAUAGUGAAGUGAAGGGGAUUUUCACUCGCCAUCAGAAUAAACAAGGCUACACAUUCUGCACACUAGAGGGAGCACGUGAC